AUCGUGAGAUAUGGGAUGAAAGAAGAGCGUAGCAAAUAGACUGGGUAACGGAAAGAAACUUGAUAUAAGGCGACUAGCUAGUGAUGUGGGAGCAUUACAUUCUAAAAUCAUAAACGACCGUAAUAGCUAGCCAGUAAAUCAAGUACUCAAGGCUAGAAAGAUAU
rnacentral:ncRNA from 1 species